rnacentral:tRNA from 1 species
GGGCAAUUAGCUCAGUUGGUAGAGCAUCUGACUUUUAAUCAGGUGGUCGCAGGUUCGAACCCUGCAUUGCCCACCA